rnacentral:rRNA from 1 species
UACGGAGGGGGCUAGCGUUGUUCGGAAUUACUGGGCGUAAAACGCCCGUAGGCGGCUUUGUAAGUUAGAGGUGAAAGCCCAGGGCUUAACCCUGGAAUUGCCUUUAAGACUGCAUCGCUAGAAUCGUGGAGAGGUGAGUGGAAUUCCGAGUGUAGAGGUGAAAUUCGUAGAUAUUCGGAAGAACACCAGUGGCGAAGGCGACUCACUGGACACGUAUUGACGCUGAGGUGCGAAAGCGUGGGGAGCAAACAGG